AUGGAGGGGCGUACCCUACUCCUCGACCAGGCGGCACCCAGCGCGUCCGCCCCUACUGGCCGCUCCGCCUCGCAGGCGACGGGGGACGAGGCCGCGGCUAAAGUCGAAUUAUCAAAAAGGAGCUGUGUCUCAUGCAAUUCAAAGGAUUUACAAGCCAUGUCAGAAGAUUCUGCUAAAACGUUGCUAGAGCAGGUGGCUGGCUGGGAGGUGAAAAAUGAGGGCGACAUUCUGAAAUUGCACAGGGCAUGGAAGGUGAAGAACUUUGCCAAAGGGCUUGAGUUCUUUCAGCUUGUUGCUGCUGUUGCGGAGGAAGAAGGUCACCACCCAGAUCUUCAUCUUGUUGGUUGGAAUAAUGUGAAAAUUGAUGUGUGGACUCACUCAGUCAGUGGUUUAACAGAUAAUGAUUUCAUCCUUGCUGCAAAGAUCAAUGAACUCAAGCUAGGAGGCCUUUUGAGCAAGAAAAAAGCUACUGCCCAGGAGUAG
rnacentral:rRNA from 1 species